GACGAACGCUGGCGGCGUGCCUAAUACAUGCAAGUAGAACGCACAGUUUAUACCGUAGCUUGCUACACCAUAAACUGUGAGUUGCGAACGGGUGAGUAACGCGUAGGUAACCUGCCUGGUAGCGGGGGAUAACUAUUGGAAACGAUAGCUAAUACCGCAUAAUAUUAAUUAUUGCAUGAUAAUUGAUUGAAAGAUGCAAUUGCAUCACUACCAGAUGGACCUGCGUUGUAUUAGCUAGUAGGUGAGGUAACGGCUCACCUAGGCGACGAGACAUAGCCGACCUGAGAGGGUGAGCGGCCACACUGGGACUGAGACACGGCCCAGACUCCUACGGGAGGCAGCAGUAGUGAAUCUGCGGCAAUGGACGAAAGUCUGACCGAGCAACGCCGCGUGAGUGAAGAAGGUCUUCGGAUCGUAAAGCUCGGUUGUAAGAGAAGAACGGGUGUGAGAGUGGAAAGUUCACACUGUGACGGUAACUUACCAGAAAGGGACGGCUAACUACGUG
rnacentral:rRNA from 1 species